ensembl:lncRNA novel transcript
AGCCAGCUACUGCUCCCCGAGUCACCAGGCCAGGCUGUGUCCAGAGAGGCGUGGAGACAGCCAGGAGCCAAGGCCAUGAAGCCAAAGGUCAUUUUAAAAAGCACUUCUGCUGCUGGCCCCAAGUUGGGAGACAAAAGAAAGAUGGGAAAGAAAAAAAUAAGGACAUGCCCAUAAAAUCUGAGAGUCUGAGCCCUGCUGGUCUCUAGCAUGAACAAAGAGCUUUAAACCAGAGGCUUGAUAAGAAACUUCACGCUGCCCCCAACCCUCCUCCUUUCCCUCACCAGGAUCCCAAGCCAUCCUGGUCUCAGACUCAGCUCUUACCUGUUUCUGGCUCUGCUGGGUCCUUUUCCAUGGGUUCUGAAGGUGUGUCUUGGAGCUUUUUCUUCUGUGGGGCUGUGCUGGAGAAGACGCCAACUGGAGCCCACUCCAGAUAGAGGGGGACAUGAUGGAACUGCAGAGACAAGAGUGAUGGCCCUGUGGGUCUUCAUUACAACACACUGCUGGGGAGGGACUCAGUCCCAUGCAGAUCACAGCCCAAGGGUCACAGAGGAUGGGCAACUCACCCAAGAA